rnacentral:lncRNA from 1 species
AUGGACAACGACAGUACCACUGCCAGGGCGGAGAGGAGCUUCUGGACAGUUUGGGCCUAUAUAACUGGAGCCGUCAGCAGAUUCUUCAGACCGGAGCCUGCUAACAUCAUCGUCAAUGACCCGAACUCCUUCCAUGAAUCCAAAGUUGACAGCGAGGAUGCAAACUGUGGUCAGGCGGAGGGUGACGCCAGAGGAAGGGAAGUCGAUGAGGAACCGCCUCUUGCAACAGUCUCCGUGCUUAGUGUAUCUCGGGCUGUUGUUGCCUGGGAACCUUGCAAAACAGAAAUCAACUUGGCUUGCGAUGAGGAAAGCAAGCCGUGCAAAACCCAGCUGAGCAGUGAGGGCACGAGAGAGGAACAGUCCAUCCAAACAGGAAGUGAUGAUACUGGUGAGCUCAUCGCUGAAGAGGCAAAAGAAGACGAACAAGUAGAGAUCGGAGAUCGGAAUUUUAAAGCUGGCGGACGAGAUGAGAUGCAGGAGGAUGAUGUGUACGAAGAGCAUGUGAAGUCGCUAAGACUUACAGAUGAUGCAGCGAAUGAAGAUGUGGAAGAAAGCAGAGGAAAAGCUGUAGCCGAGGAGGAGAGAGCAAUGACACUGGAUGAUCAUCAAAAAAUGGAUGAAACCUUGAUAAAGGUCCAGGUAAAGGAUGAAGAAGAUGAUAAAAUACACCAUGAAGAUGAGCGAGAUAUGAAGGCAGAAGACUCUGAGGUAAAUUUGUCUAUGAUCGCAGCUUUGAGUCUAGAAGAGGAGGACAACACGCACAUAGUAGAGGCGAGGGUGCUGAGAGACCAGGCACGCAUAGCGAUGACGCGUGAGGAAGUAGAGGACGGUGAUGGUGUGUUGCCGCUGGCUUCUGAAAAUGAAGACAAAUCCGAUCAAGGAGCAGAAGAAGCUGGAGACCUUUCAGACGACGAAGGAGAUCUGGAGGGAGACCCAAGAUUUACUUCAGUGCAUGUCGCGUCACAACUGGCCGACAACAACAGAGGCAUUGUUUCCGAGGAUGAGCUAAUUCUUGUUGGACAACAGCAUGUGAGCACGCAUAGCAGUGAAAGUGAGGACGCAAAAGAGAAAGAGGACGAGAGAACACUGGAUGAGACGGAGCAGGAUGCUGUAAUUGAGGAAGAAGAUGUGAGCGAGGUUGCAAGCGACCAGGCAAAAGAUGACUUCAGCUUGAAAACAGUUUCAGAAGAUGGUCAAGAAGAAGAUAUUUCAACCGGACAUGUUACAUGCACGGAAGAAUUCGCGCAGAAUGCUGAAACGGAGCCGAUCACGGCUGAAGUCACAGAUGGAGAGCAAGAGGACAUGGCCACAGACACAGAAGUGCAAACCAAAACGAGAGAGACACAUGCUGUUGAACUAGAAAGCCAAGGCGAGGUGAGCAAUGGAAAUACUGAUACAGACAUUCCCGUAGGUGAGACAUUUUUUGAUAAAGAUCAAGCAGAGGAGGAGAGGCACUCCAGUGAGGGCGUCAACAAAGAUGGUUGCCUAGAAGUAGUGUGCACAACCACCUUGGUUACAGUAAACCCCGAAGGCGAGACUGGACAGGAAAUUAGUGGAGAGUUUAAAAAUAUUCCUCCGGGGACAUGUGAAGGCCGGCUUGUUGUGUCGCAGGAGCUGAAUUCUCCCACAUGUGAGGAAGCACGAGAGGGAGUUCCUGAACACAACAAUGAGCCAGGGCCAGAUGAAAAUGCAACACAAUGGUUCCUGGAAGCAGGAGAUUGCGAGGAAAUCCAGACCUUGCAAUUACCAGAAGAGGUGGAGGGCAAAGAGCCGGAGAGCCUUGAAAACAGUGGCUGGAGCACCGGAGCUGACCAUUCACUGGCGAGGGAGCGUAUGGAAGAGGAACAAGAAAGCCCAGAAGAGAUAAGAAACAGCUUUGAUUCGGUUGUAGAGGAGCAUGCUGACGCUGGAUUGCAUCAAGAGGCAGAAACCGUACUUAUUGAACCAGUAAUUCAAGAUUCGGGGGUUUUAUUUGACGAAGAGCAAGAAACAUUAUCGGCUGACUCAAUGAAGACAGGGAUCGAACAAUCGGAGAAGGAAUUCGAGUCAGACGUCGGCUCAACAGAUGAGAUUGAUAAGACGGUAAAAGAGCCGCAGGAUGGGACUGAAGAGCUUCUGGUUGAUCUUGAGAUGGAUGAGGGAUUAUGUGAUGUCAGAGAAACUGAUGCUGUAGUGCAGAAAAUGGCAGAGAUUAGCUUCUUUCAGGAGUCGGUAGAAGCAGUAAACUCGGAGCAAAACAGCUACAGGACACAGAGUUUCCUAGAAGACUUCACAGAAUCUGGAUUCCUGAAACAGUCGAUUGAGACUGAACCUCGAGCAGACUUACUUGAGCAGAGUGCUGUACAAAUGCAAUAUGCAGGGAGAGAUUUGGAGGAAACGUAUUUUGGGGUUAAAGAGGAGGUUGCACAAGAUGAAGUGCACAACGAGAAUGAGAUGGAAACUGGAGAGACUUUGAUCGCAGAAUCUGAGUCAUUGGAGACGCAAAAUCAGCUAUCAGACGCAGCACUUGAGAUAAGCAACGAGAAGACUGAAGCAGCGGGAGAAUCACUGACAAGUGAGUCCAAACCAGAAGAUUCAACUGUGAUAUCAGCAGAAGAAGUGUCAAGGCGUGUGACAGAAUCAGAAGGGAGUUACGCUGAAGACAGCCCAAUCAGCAGAGGUCAAGAUGUGAUUGAUGAAGAAGUCCUUGACUUAUGGAUACAGACGGCGCUGUCAGAGGACACUGAUGGCAUCAAACAAGAAGAAGGGCCUGAACCUGGACAACAAAUUGACUCGGAUACGGAGCAAUCAAAUGAGGAGCAACAUGAAGUCUUAUCAGUACAGAGAGAUAAGGUUAAAGAGCAGCUUGUGGAGCUGAAUUCAGAGGAAUCUGAGCUGAUGAGUGACACAGAAAUGUCUUCAUCGACAGCAGAGUCCGGAUUUUCAGAUCAGUCUCUCUGUGAAUCAGGCACACAGGGCAGUGAAACUCAGUUACAGGAUUCAACCAGCAGUGGAUCGUGUCAAGGCAUUGAUGACACGUUGGCUAACAUGUCAGAAUCGGCAGACAUCUCUGAACUGUCAACACAACAACCAGAGUCGGGGUUAGGUCAGGAAACGGCUGAAAAAGGGGAAUCGUUUCUGAAACGGGAGGAAUCUUCCGCUGAGAGGCAAACAGAGGCCGGACAUCUGAAUCAGGGAUCAGAUGAAUCACAAGGAAAAGCGGACGAAGAGAAUGGAUCACAGAAAGAUAGUGAUGCUGACAUAACAGACCCAGCAAGGACAACUGACCGGAAAGACACAGAAGAAGUUGAGUCACUAACAGAAAUGAGCGCUCAUGUCCAAGUCGAGGAAACAAAAGUCAAAGUUGAGCCUCUCGAGAUUUCUGGCUCUGCAGAUGAAGUCGAACACACUGACUCGGGACGAUCUAGAAGUGGCUCAGAGGGAAGCGUGUCAUCAGAAUCACAAAACGACACCAGCAUUGAAUCCGAGAAGACGUUAUUGAUGUUGCCCUCAGUGGACAAACUGCCCAGAUUUUCAGAAGAUGAUUCUUUACAUGAGCUAAACAGGGCUGAGAUGGCACCGCAGCCGACAUCAGAAGAUCAGAUGGAGGUGGACGCCUAUGUGUUGGACUUUGCUGCACAAAGGUCAAGAAUUGCUGUUAAAAACCCUCGUGUGAGGCCACCCAAAGACCCCCGCUCCCUGCUACACAUGCCCUCAGUGGAUCCCACACCUUCCUCUCGUCUGCCUGUCAAAGUACCUGCAGGUGUGCCUUUCGGAGGAUUGGGCAUUGGCGUGAAACUUCCUGGGCUUGGUGCAGGUUUUCCCGUUUUAAAAAAGACUCCAAGGGUGGUGAGAGAUGAAAAUAGCCAGGAGCCACUCUCACAGGGACCCGAGACAAAGCCAGAGGAGAAGAGUGACUCUCCCAAACAAGACGAGGCGCCACACAAACCAAAAUGGAUGCCACCAAGACACCCAGGAUUUGGAAAUCCGCUCAUGUCUGAGCUGAAGACGAAACUGAAGAAAACCACAAAAGAUUGAGAGGAAGAUAAAAUGUACCGCUUUAUGUGAAUAUCUGAAUGUAAUAUACUGAUGGCUGUAUUUUUUUGUGUGUGUAUAUAAGAAACUGAAUACAGUGAUGACAUGUUCUUCCUGCAGUUACUAUCCUGAUGUUUUGUAACUUUUGUAAUAAAGCUCAUCUGUAAGAGGAAUCAUAGUUUCUUGCACAAAAAUUGAAAAAAUUGUGAAGAAAUAUGCUGACAGAAGCAAGUUGUGGGGCCACAUGAUAAUGGUUCAGGUUGCAUGGAAAUGUAGUGAGUUACUGAAUACUAAUUAUAUGUCAGUUUUUGUUAUUGGUAAUGUAAUCCAUUUGAUAGCAAAUUAUGUAAUCACAAUUAAUUUAACUCCUUUUUCAAGCGAUGGAAGACAAAAUUCAUACAAGUUUGUAAUCUGGACAAAUAGAUCGACUUGAACCUUGAAUAUUAGUAUUAGUGUGACUUCACUGAUCAAAAG